rnacentral:lncRNA from 1 species
UUUUUUUUUCUCUCUUGCAGCACGCAGGAUAGAACUGCCUGAAAGCUACGAGGCCAGCGACCCAACGAUUCUGGAAGCUCAGUCCUCUCUGAUCUGUCAUUCAGAAGUAGUUACGUGUCAUUAAGAGUCCUGUGGUGCUGCAACAAUGAAGAUCAGAAUCCUGUUAUGGGUGAAGACAACUGGAACUCUUCCAGAAUUAUUCUCCUAUUGGAGGAUCUAAGCAAGCAGCAAGCGAUAUAGUUUCUGUUAGCCUCUCCCUCACCCUGUCUUCAAAGCCUUUAA